CCUACGGGAGGCAGCAGUGGGGAAUAUUGGGCAAUGGAGGAAACUCUGACCCAGCGACGCCGCGUGCGGGAUGAAGGCCUUCGGGUUGUAAACCGCUUUCAGUAGGGAAGAAGCGAAAGUGACGGUACCUACAGAAGAAGCACCGGCUAACUAUGUGCCAGCAGCCGCGGUAAUACAUAGGGUGCAAGCGUUGUCCGGAAUUAUUGGGCGUAAAGAGCUCGUAGGUGGUUCGUCACGUCGGAUGUGAAAAUCUGGGGCUCAACCCUAGACCUGCAUUCGAUACGGGCGAUCUAGAGUGUGGUAGGGGAGACUGGAAUUCCUGGUGUAGCGGUGGAAUGCGCAGAUAUCAGGAGGAACACCAAUGGCGAAGGCAGGUCUCUGGGCCAUUACUGACACUGAGGAGCGAAAGCGUGGGGAGCGAACAGGAUUAGAUACCCUGGUAGUCCACGCCGUAAACGGUGGGCACUAGUUGUGGGAACCUUCCACGGUUUCUGCGACGCAGCUAACGCAUUAAGUGCCCCGCCUGGGGAGUACGAUCGCAAGAUUAAAACUCAAAUGAAUUGACGG
rnacentral:rRNA from 1 species